rnacentral:rRNA from 1 species
CACGUAGGAGGCAAACGUUAUCCGGAUUUACUGGGCGUAAAGCGCGUGUAGGUGGUUCUGUAAGUAGGGCGUGAAAGCUCCCGGCUCAACUGGGAGAUGCCGUUCUAAACUGCAGAGCUAGAGGAUGGUAGAGGGAGGUGGAAUUCCAGGUGUAGCGGUGGAAUGCGCAGAUAUCUGGAGGAACACCAGUGGCGAAGGCGGCCUCCUGGACCAUUCCUGACACUCAGACGCGAAAGCUAGGGUAGCAAACGGGAUUAGAUACCCCCGUAGUCCCU